AAAAAGAUAAGCUAAAUUAAGCUUAUAGGUUCAUACCCUAUCUAUGGAAUUUUAUUCCUCUUUUUA
rnacentral:tRNA from 1 species